rnacentral:rRNA from 1 species
GACGAACGCUGGCGGCGUGCUUAACACAUGCAAGUCGAACGGAAAGGCCCUGCUUUUGUGGGGUGCUCGAGUGGCGAACGGGUGAGUAACACGUGAGUAACCUGCCCUUGACUUUGGGAUAACUUCAGGAAACUGGGGCUAAUACCGGAUAGGAGCUCCUGCUGCAUGGUGGGGGUUGGAAAGUUUCGGCGGUUGGGGAUGGACUCGCGGCUUAUCAGCUUGUUGGUGGGGUAGUGGCUUACCAAGGCUUUGACGGGUAGCCGGCCUGAGAGGGUGACCGGCCACAUUGGGACUGAGAUACGGCCCAGACUCCUACGGGAGGCAGAAGUGGGGAAUAUUGCACAAUGGGCGGAAGCCUGAUGCAGCAACGCCGCGUGCGGGAUGACGGCCUUCGGGUUGUAAACCGCUUUCGCCUGUGACGAAGCGUGAGUGACGGUAAUGGGUAAAGAGGCACCGGCUAACUACG